rnacentral:rRNA from 1 species
GACGAACCGUGCGAACGUUGUUCGGAAUCACUGGGCUUAAAGGGCGCGUAGGCGGGCUGUCAAGUCCGGGGUGAAAGCUUUCGGCUCAACCGGAAAAGUGCCUCGGAUACUGGCAGUCUUGAGGGAGGCAGGGGUAUGUGGAACUUCCGGUGGAGCGGUGAAAUGCGUUGAUAUCGGAAGGAACGCCGGUGGCGAAAGCGACGUACUGGUCCUCUUCUGACGCUGAGGCGCGAAAGCCAGGGGAGCGAACGGG